rnacentral:lncRNA from 1 species
AGAAACCAAGUCCAAGGGUGAUGGCUUCUGGAAGGGAUGUUGUGCUGCCUUGUGUUGUUGUUGUCUCUUGGAUGCUUGUUUUUGAACAUCAUCAUCCUAUGUGAUUUUUGAAUUCAGCCCAGUAAUCAUAUAUUACUUUAUUCGUUUGUGAAUUAUGUUUUCCUCACUUUCUGUAACUUUUGCGUUAUUAUUCGAUUAUGUAAUUCUUGUUGUUGCAUUAUUCGUAUAGUAAAAUUCUAUAAUUUGUUCAAAUAAAAGAGACAAGUUUUUGUGAGUAUUAAAUAGUUUCACGUUAUGAUAUUAACACUGUACAUUCACGAAUUCGCUUGAAAAAAAAAAAAGAAAAGAAGAAAGAAAACAUGAACUCGGAUUCUGAAGUUAUUAACUGUAUUUUAGGCUGGGUGGGGUAUGCAAUGUCAUCAGUUGAUGACGUGGGAGAACGUGUGACCAAACAUGUGGAAAAUGUAUAUUGGCCGUUCAAUCUAAUAUCCAUACAAUAAUAGAACCCUUAUGUCAUUCGAUUUGAUACUGCCACCAUAAUAGAUAAACAAUAGAAGAUUUGAGGAAGAGUUUCAGAAGGAAAAACAGAGGAAGAUGGAGUAGUUGUUUGAGUAAAACUUCUAUGGUGCAAUUCUUAGACAGUUUUGGGUAUUUCUCAGAUUCUUUGCUUAAGACAAAAGCCUAAGGCUUAUAUAUACAAGGAUAGAUAAAAUCCCAACCAUCCAUGCGGCGUAUUGAUCGACCAUACAAUAAAGUCAAAAAGUCAAACUAUUUGUAUCACAAUCUUUGAACUUCUUGUGCUGUGAAUGAUAUGCCUUGUUUAAGAACUUAUUUGUAUCACAAUCUCAAUUCUCCUAUUCACCAUAUUCUUGGACUGUUAUAUUCUGUGUUGCUUUUUAUUUAGUUCGAAAUCUUUCCUGUGAUGAAUGGUUGCUCUAAAAUUAUUUAUUAAAUACUUGAGGCAAGGGACUUAGCUCCAUCUAUUUUUAUAGGAUGAGAGCUUGUGAGAAUUCCCUGUAAAUGUCUCCUCUCAAGACCCCCGCCCCCUCUAUUCUUUUUGCUCUUGUUUUGGCACAUUGAUGAUUGAUGUGUGAUGCGAUCUUUAUGAUUUAUGCUUGAAUGCCUGUACUUUUCAGUGUUCUUCGUUUGUUAUUGCUGAUUAAUAACAACCUUCUUGUGUGAUUGGUCCAUUACAUUGUUUGUGCUAACUUUCCUUCUCAAAUUUGAUUACUUAGAGUCAGCAAUCUCUUUGACGAACGACUUUAUAGAAACAGCAAUCUCUUUGACGAACGACUUUACUAAGGUGCUAUCCAAGCACCCAGGAAGCAUAAAAGGUGAAGUUGUAGAUAAUAAAAAAUAGAUAUUUGUUGAUUAGCAAAAAACCCAACAAGAAAUGGAGGGAAAUGGUUCCAAAUUGGUGGCAAAUGGGUCUGAAGCUUUGAAGAGGUCAAAAGGAAUUGAUUUAACGAUUAUAUCCCUUAUAAAAUAGGGAUUUAACGGUUUUUUUGACGAAUGAACUAUUUAAGAGCACCUAUAUUAAUGUUAAGGACCAUAGGUGAUACAAAUUUUUUUUUUAACGAUGCAAUUUGAUAGUUUCGCAAACAUAGAGACGUUUUGUGAUAAAAAUCUUUUUGCAAAUUAUAAUUUGACAUAUGUGCAAAAAUAAUUCAUAAAAAACACAAAAAGAAAAACUUCUACACAUAUAUCAAACUGCCAUCGACAUAAAUGUUGAAACUUCUUCUUUACUAACGGGGAUGGUGGGAAGUAUUUUCCAUAAUAUAAUUGCUCUUUCCUACGGAGGUCGUCCACUCCAAAAGUAAUUAUGAGAACAGAAUAGGGCCCAUUGCGUUUUGCUUAGCAGUCUUGUUUUCUUUCUUUCUUUCUUAUUUCUUCUUUUUGGGGUCUGAACUGCCCCACAUAGGUACACUGUAGCCACCCGCGUAAGAGACACUAGUAAGAUAUCAAAUACGUAUCUUCCCAGAAACAACCACUCCAACAAUUGUCAUCUGCUUUCUUGAUCUAUAAAUUGCGCCUCAUCUAUCAUCUACCCAACAAACCAAACCCAGCUAAGUGUUUUCACUUUGUUUUCAUUCCCUUCUGUUUCUAGCAUCUCUCUUUUAUUUUCUUCUUCUACCUCCAUAGAAUACUUUGAAGGCCCUUAGAAAUAUUAUUCAAAGAUGAGUUCAUCAACUUACUCCGGAGCAGCAUACCCUCCCCCACCUUGUUCUACACCGCCGGGUCAGGCUCCACCACCUGCUGGUUAUCCAACAAGAGAUGCCCCAAAUCCCCAUGGACAUGGAGCUGUAGAAACAAAGUCAAAAGGUGAUGGCUUCUGGAAGGGAUGCUGUGCUGCCUUGUGCUGCUGUUGCGUUUUGGAUGCAUGUUUUUGAACAUCAUCCAGGAGAUUCUUGAAUUGAGAGCCCAAUAAUCCACAUAUAUCUUUCAUUUGUGAAUUUUAUUUUACACACAUUUAUUUCAGUUUUUCCGUUGUUAUACUUCUAUGAGGAAAGGACCAUGUCGAUUUCCCAUAUAGUGAUCCUACGUACCGAUUGUCCAAUUCUUUUUAUUGUAUAAUGAUUCUUAUAAUAAAAUUUCUUCAUUUGCAGCUAAUAUAAGGAAAUCUUCCAUGAAUUUAUCUUGAAUCGGGAUCUUUUGGCUCAACUUUAUCUUAGUUCUAACGAGGGAGCAACCUCAUUUUUCACCUUGAAGUGGUCAAAAUAUAUGUGAAAUUUUUUUACUUUUUGUAGAGGAUUAGAUCUAGUAAUUGGAGGUCAUGGCUGACUCACACCAUAAUUUAGCUAUUGCAAUUCUUUUUUCCUUGGUAGCGGGUCACAUGUAUAGAAUCAACUGGGACAUUGGUCAUUGAUGCAAGAGCAUAUGGGUGGAUUAAGAUAGAUAUUUAGCAUUUAAUUAGUUAUUUCAUGAUAUAUUGUUAUUUUCUUACUUAGGUAGUUUUAAGAUAUCUUUUAUUAUUUCACUACUACAAAAAGUGAGAAAGACGACCAGAAAACAACGACGGUCUAAGUGAAAACCGUCGUGGUUUAUAAAAAGACGACGGUUCUAAAAACACCGUCGUGUAAUACAACCUUAGACAACUAAAAAAUGGAGUUUCAAAUGGCUGUUCAAAAACAACGACGUACAUAAUUAAACAACCGACGUCUAUUUGAAACAGAUUUCCGCAGUGUAAAAUCAAUGCCAACAAAGAACGGCAGAAGUUAUGAAUCGACCGACGUAGAAAGUAAAGACGACGAUUUCAAUAAAAACUGCCGUUUUUACUCAUAAAAUAAGACGACGAGGUUUUCGUAUAAGACGCCGUAUAAUUACAAACAAAUCCACGGCUUUAAAAUACAAAAUAUCGCCGUAUUAAAUUAAUUUACAACGACGGAAAAUAUAAAUAUAUCGACGUCAUUCUCGUAUAGUUCUACUACGUUAUCUUUAAAUCGUACAAUAAAAUUUAUCGUCGUAUUUAUUCAUUUUAUACGUCGUACCUUUAAUUUUAACGGUCGUCUUAAUAAGAAUUUUUGUUAACAAUUUUUUUCUUUGAUUUUCAUAUCCUACGUCGGUAGAUCUACUUAAUGACAAGAAUUGAAAUAACCACGACGGUUUAUAUAGAACACCGCCGACAUAAUCAGUUUUGUCUGAGAUCCCAAGGGUUACGAAAUCUUACCAGAUGGAACUCUGUUCCACAUCAUAAUCUUAACAGAUGACACAGAUUUGCAAAUAUUGCGUCGUGUUAGUUUACAAAUUCUAGAACAUUAAUUUCCCUCAUUUUAAAUUUCCUCGGGAAAGAAAAAUCUAUUUAUCACGCUUUGGAAUUGAAAACUAAAACUGAAAGAAUACGGGAAAAAAAACUCCAUUUAUAAUUUAAAAUUAAAAUCCACGUCGGUUGUAGUACACUUAACGACGUUUAACAAAAUAAUCUACGUCGGUAAUUAUAAAUCUACCGCCAUCGUAACUUAAUAUAGACGACGAGAAAAGACGACGGUAGAACAGAAAACCGCCGUUGUUUCAGUUUCUUUAACAUAUCUUUCUGCAGGACUUGUGUAGUUCAAAGCAUUGACAAUGUCUUCAUCAUAUCUCCCAGAAACUACUGAUUCAAUUGCUCAUGCUUUAGAGGCCAUCUGAAGCCAUUUCUAUUCUUAUCGCAUUCUUGAAACCCAUCUUCUUCUUCUGAAGCUCUACGGAUAAAGGAAGAGGCUAUCACAAUAAAUCCGAUGGAUCUUCUUAGGCAAGAAAAUCAAGCAGAGGAUCAGGCACAUCUGAUCUUCAGAUUUCCCUGAGAAGCGAACUUUCCUUCGACAGCGAGUGGAGGCCAGGCUUGCAUCUCUUUUGAUGGAAAGCAAGGAGUAUUCAGAAGCACUAAGUGUCCUAUCAGGCUUGAUCAAGGAAGUGAGAAGGCUAGUUGACAAGCUUCUUCUUGUGGACAUAUAUUUGAUGCGAGUAAGCUCAAUUUCUCUUUGAGAAAACAUCCAAAUUAUUAUCUUUGAGACAUGAGAGACUGAGAGAGGAAGAACUUGGAACCUUAAAUGUAAACCGAAAAUGAAUGAAAGCGACAAAUUUAUAGAAUAAAUUUUUAAAACCAACGGCGGUCCUUACAAAAAAACCGCCGUUUAAAUUGUAAAAUCAACGUCGGUAUGAUCGACGUAUAUUACAGAAAUCCACGUCGGUAAAUUAAUAAAAACGACGUGUUAAAUAAUAUACCAUGACGCGAGUUAUUACUUAUGUACUUUAAUUUUUGAGUUUACUACGACGGUACCUACAAACUACUGUCGUAUUUAUUUACCACGUCCGAAGUUAAAUGUACCGUCGUAUUUUGUAAUUUAUACGUCGUAGUUAUAUGUAACCGCCAUAUUAUUUUUUUGAAAUGGUUUUAUAUGUAAGCAACUUUUCGUCUACUUGACUUACACAUUUGUUGUUUUUAUAUUCUUAUUUUAUUUAAAUCUGUCAUCCAAAAAAGAAACUUUACAUAUUGCAGAAUAUUAAUUUCCUUCGUUUUAAAUUUCCUCCGGAAAAAAAACUCUAUUUAUAACGCCCUGUAAUUGAAAAAUAAACUGAAAGGUCACGGGAAAAAAAAUUCUAUUCAUAAUUUAAAAAUUAAAAUCCACGUCGGUUAUAUUAAACCUAACGACGUUAAAUGAAAUGAUUCCACGUCGAAUGAAAAAUAUUGCGUCGUUUUAGUUAAAAACGACGUAGUUAAAUGUAACCGCCGUAUUAUUUUUUUGAAAUGGUUUUAUAUGUAAGCAACUUUUCGACUUACACAUGCACUGUUUCCAAACCCGAUUAAAAAUUUCAAUCUCCCAGAGAAACCUUUUCGUCUUUUUUCCUUGUCAGAGCAUUGUCAGAGUUUCUCAUCGUCUUCCUCUCGUCUUCUUCGUCGUCUCUGAACUUAAACAUCGAUCAUCUUCCUCUUGCUUUCAUUGCACGCAAAAGGUAAGCUUUCAUUUUCACUAUUUUGGUUACUGUUUUGCAUGCUCAUACGUUUUUUGUUUGAAAAAUCUUUUUACCUUUUUUAUGGCCAAAAUCGUUUUACUUCUUUCCAAGUUUGAUAAAAUAUACAGACAAAGAGAGAAAGUUUCCAACUUUGAAGACAACUACAUCAACUAAAUAAGACGACGGUAGACCACGACGGUUCGUCAGUUGUUCUAGCGUCGUCUGAAAAUUGACAAAGUUGUUUUUAAAAUAAUAGUCUUUUUUUAUAUGCUUGUUUAAUUGCAGGUUUGAUUUCGCUGAACAAUGGUUUUUGUUUUUCCCUUAUUUGAUAAAAUAUAAAGAAAAAGAAACUAGGGUUGGUAUCUAAUAUAGACGACAAAAUAUCUUAUUGUUUUACGUCGUGUGAAUGUUAAUACCACGACGGUGUAUUACUAUUGACGUCGUAUGAACAUAAAUACCACGACGUUAUAUAAAUAAUAGUUUACCACGACGGUGUAUUACUAUUGACGUCGUGUGAACAUAUAUACCACGACGUUAUAUAAAUAAUGGUUUUAAACAUUUAUUACGUCUGAGAUUAUUUCAUUGCGUCGUCUAAAAUCAUAUCAUACGUCGUAUUUUUUUAAUACCGUCGUUUGUGUUCUUAAUGUUUUCCUGAAAUAUUUUCACUUGCAGUUUUGUCUGUUAAAAUGGUUUCUCAACAACAAACUAAGGAUUCUGGCUCCAAGAAGCUUGGAAUGGUAGCUCCUCAAGAUAAGUCUUCGAAGGAGAUGAAGUCUUCGAAGAAGAUGAAGUUUGCUUCAUCAUCUGCUGAGACAGAACAAACCAGCCAGACAACAAUCUCAGAUGAUUCAAGGACUGGUCGAGGUAUGAGCACAAUGCCUCGUGUUGUGAAGAGAAAGCUUCAGAAACUGAGGCCAAUUGUUGAGUACAAUAAAAGGGGGAAAGGUGUUGGCCAAGCACAUAUUGAGAUGCAGUCGUAUAUUGGUGUGUUGGCACGCUCCAGGAUCCCACUUGUGGACAAGAAAUGGUCCCAAAUCCCCAAGGAUAUAAAGGAGCAGAUUUGGGAAGCAGUUGACAUGGCUUUUGUCGUAGGCCAAGGGGGCAAGACCUCUGUUUUAGCUUCUGCUUCCAAGAAAUGGAAGGAUUUACUACGUCGUUGAAUGGAUAUACUACGUCGGUUAUGAAAAAUAUCGUCGUCUGUGAUUGAAUUUCUUUUUAUUUAUAAACCCUAAUAGUCAUUGUUUAUGCAGUAUGCCAAGGGAAACCAGGAAGCUUCAUACCCCCAAGAAGCCAUUGAUGAAGUCCGGAAUGAAUGGGCAGAGUUUGUUUUCCAAAUUAUUAAACAGGGCAAUUAUUGAACACUUGAUAUUUAUGUAUAAUGUACCAAUUUUCUCUAUAAUAUGUAAUGUAAAAAUUUGUUGAGGUUUUCUUAAAUUAAAAAAAAAAACAAACAUACAAAUUGCUUAACCGACGUGUAAUACUUUUCCAACGACCUAAUAAAGUCAAUAACCGUCGUAUUUUGUUGUUGCGUGUUUUAAACAAAUACGACGUAAAAAAAUAGUUAGACGACGUUCUUUGAACAAUUGAGUCGUUAAUGGUUUACAAUAUCUUCAAUUUCUUAAGGGUUCAGGGUAUAAUCGACGACGUUUAUGUAACGACUGCGGUUAAGUCGUAAAAUAUAUAUUUUACGUCGUAUAGUUAAAUAGCCGCCAUGGUUUCUCAUUUUAACGACGUCAUUUUAACGACUUAGUAGUCUAUUACAAUUUACAACGUCUACAAUUUAUUUAACACCGACGUGGUUUGUUGUAUGGUAAGAAUAUUUUAUUAUUUUUAUAUCAAAAUAUUCAAAAUAAAUAUAAAAUAAAUCAGAAAAUUGAAAAGUCAACUCCUAUGAAGUCAUUGAUAUAUUUUCUUCCACAUAAACCUUGAAAAAAUUCAUUUUGAAUAACAAAAAUUUAAAAUGACCAUCCAAAACAAAAUUGUUUUGAUGAGUCAUAAAAUCACUUCUAGUUUUAUGGUUUAGGGUUUAGAGUCUAGGGUUUAGAGAUUAGGGUUGUUAUUUAUUGGGGUUUAUUUUUAAAGUAUAAUUUUUGGGUAGUCUAGGGUAUAUGUUAGGCUUUAAAACCAUAAAACCUUUUAUAAACUUAAUUUUUUAAAUUGUAUAAUUUAAUUUUAUGGGUUUAGUGUAUUAAUUUUUAACGACGGUGGUUGGGUCGUGGAAUACAUAUUUUACGUCGUACAGUAAAACAUACGACAUGGUUUACGCUUUAAACGACGUCAUUUUAAUAUGUAAGUCGGUUUAUAUAAUUUACAACGUUUUUAAUUUCUUAACACCGACGUGGUUUCUCAUUUUAACGACGUCAUUUUAACGACUUAGUAGUCUAUUACAAUUUACAACGUCUACAAUUUAUUUAACACCGACGUGGUUUGUUGUAUGGUAAGAAUAUUUUAUUAUUUUUAUAUCAAAAUAUUCAAAAUAAAUAUAAAAUAAAUCAGAAAAUUGAAAAGUCAACUCCUAUGAAGUCAUUGAUAUAUUUUCUUCCACAUAAACCUUGAAAAAAUUCAUUUUGAAUAACAAAAAUUUAAAAUGACCAUCCAAAAUAAAAUUGUUUUGAUGAGUCAUAAAAUCACUUCUAGUUUUAUGGUUUAGGGUUUAGAGUCUAGGGUUUAGAGAUUAGGGUUGUUAUUUAUUGGGGUUUAUUUUUAAAGUAUAAUUUUUGGGUAGUCUAUGUUAUAUGUUAGGCUUUAAAACCAUAAAACCUUUUAUAAACUUAAUUUUUUAAAUUGUAUAAUUUAAUUUUAUGGGUUUAGUGUAUUAAUUUUUAACGACGGUGGUUGGGUCGUGGAAUACAUAUUUUACGUCGUACAGUAAAACAUACGACAUGGUUUACGCUUUAAACGACGUUAUUUUAAUAUGUAAGUCGGUUUAUAUAAUUUACAACGUCUUUAAUUUCUUAACACCGACGUGGUUUUUCAGUCGUCGUUAUAUAAAAAAUUCAAAAUAAAUUUAAAAUUAAUCCGAAAAAUGAACGGCCUUACGUUCUUAAUCCGAAAAAUGAAGUUUCCGUCGUGGAAUAUUAAAUUUACGUCGGUACUUGUAGAACUUUCGCCUUGGUUUUUCUUUCGACGUUUUAUAACGCGCGCGCUCUAAAAAUUUUCGCGCGACCUAAAUUUUUUUAGAUUUGGCUCUUAUUCUUAUACUUUGAUCCCUGAAACCUAAAAUUUCAGAUUUCACGCGACAUAACAUUUCGCUCUCUCACUUCUGCUCUAAUUAAAAGUUGCACUCUCCAGGCUCGUCGAAUCUGUGAGCUCGUCCAACCUGUAAGUACAAACCCUAUCUUCCCCUUGUAAAUUCAUUGAAUGAUAUUAGGUUGUUUUGUUAAAGGGUUUUAGGUAUAUGCUUUGCGAUCUGUUAAUAAUGUGCUUAUAGGUAUGGGUUCAUGGAUUUUCUGUUUAAUGGGUUCAUGACAAAGGUGUACUUUUGCUGGAAAUCAACACAAAAAGACACAUCACCAACUUCCAAAUGAUUUCCAGCAAAAGGACACCUUUAUUUGAUCUUGUCAUUUUCCGCUCUGGAGAAGGUGCAAAGUGCACCAAUGCUUAUAGGUAUGGGUUCAUGGAUUUUCUGUUUAAUGGGUUCAUGGAUUACAUUAUCUGUUAUGUUGAAUUGGGAAUGGAUUUAAUUUUGUCGUAUCUUUUAAUCACCCUAUGUUAUGUUGAAUUGGGAAUGGAUUUAUUGUUUUCAUGCUUGGUUUCAUGUAUAUGUUGGUUUCUUGCUUGGUUUCAUAUAUAUGUUGUGUUCUUAAUGGGUUUUGUGUUCUUGAAAAUAAACUGAGACACGACGAAUUUUAAGGCGUACGACGACGAUUACACGACGGUGUUUUUAAACUACCGUCGUUGUAUUACUUAUACACGACGGUUUUUUCAUAAACCGUCGUUUGUAUUACGUAUAAUAGACGACGUCUGUUGAAAAUCCGUCGUCUAUAUAUGCCAAAUACGUCUGUUUUUGAUUAAAACCCGUCGUCUCUGUUGUUUAUCUUAUAUAUUUGGGACCGUAAUGCUUGAAUUUUUCGUGUCAUGUAGGCAACAUAUGAUCCACAUCAAGACUGCUUAUCCAAAAUUUAGAAAGAGAACAAAGUGGCUGCAGGAUAAGCACAAUAGCACUUUCAUUCAAUGGCUACGCUUCAAGGUAUAUGUUGUUCAAUAACGUAUUUCUCUUUUAAUUUUCUUCUUAUUUAUAUGUUAGGAUGAAUUAAGAUAUGAUUAAUUUGCAGGUUCAAAGUGAAGUUGAGGAAGACAAUCAUGGCGUAUCAGAAAAUUUAAGGUGGCUAGCAGCUGGUCCAAACAUGUCAGUGCCAUUAUAUAGGAGCUAUCUUAUUAAAGGUAUUAAAUUCAAUAUCAAGGCACAAGAUGAUGUGCGGACAACUCAAAAUAGUGGAGUUUAUUUACUUGCACAUACCAUGCAAGUUGCUAGUGCCAAGGAUAAAAACCCAAUUCUCUCAAAUAUGGGUUUCUAUGGUGUCAUUCAAGAAAUUUGGGACCUUGACUACCAAAAGUUUACAAUCCCAGUCUUUAGGUGUGAUUGGAUAGAUAGUUCUGGUCUUGUAGUCGACGAACUUGGAUUUACCCUUGUAGAUUUGAGUAAAAUUGGACAUAGGAAUGACCAAUUUGUUUUGGCUUCUCAAGUCAAACAAAUAUUUUUUGUUGACGACCCGAUGCAUCGUGGUUGGUCGGUAGUGUUAUCAAUGCCUAGUAGAGAAUAUAAUGAUGUUAUUGGUGAUGAAGUAUUAGGUGAUGUGAUAAUUGAGUGUGAGCCAUUUACUAGAGGGAUGCCAAAUGUUGACACAUUUGAUGAACUGGUAGGUGAGUUAGGCGGUCAAAAUAUUCGAGAUGGGUGUGAAGAUAUAUGGAUUGAAUGAUGCUUAUGUAAUUGGCAGUGUAUGACAUUAAUUUUGUAAUAUAUUGUAAUGUGAUUUCUUCACUUUCUACGUUCAAAUAAAACACGACGUUAUUGUGAAUCAGUUAUUCAGCAUAUUUACCGACGUCUUAAAGCAACGUAACAAUGAAGAACCACGACGCUAUUGUGAAGCAAUUAUUCAGGAUAUCACGUCGGUGAAGGAUAAAGAACCGCCAUGUAAUUCAAAAUAACACGACUCCAAUCCCAUAAUACCGACGUCUAAAAAACGAGAUAUGUAAUCUGAACGUUAAAAAAUACGACGUCAUCAUACAUUUUCCACGUCGCAAGUUCUUUUAUAAACGAAGAGGAACGAAAUUAAUUCCGACGGAAAUUCAUUAUAACCGCCGUCUAAUAACAAUUAAACGACGUUAUUUGUAAUACGGCUCCCAUCAUAAUCUACGCCGUCUAUAUGUUCUGUAAUACGGCUCUCAUUUAUUUGGAACCGACGUUGUUUAGACGUUCAACGUCGUCUAUAUUAUUAAGUGCGUCGUGAGUAAUGAAUACAUAUAAAUACAACGUCGACUAUAUAAAUGUAUACGUCGUAAAUAAUGACACUGACAACUAUUUCCACGUCAUCUUUUUUAGAAAAAUCGAAGUGGAAAAUUUAUUUCACGACGGUUUUUUGUAAAUAAGAGACGUUGUAGAACUUUAGCAGACUAAACACGUCUGUUUUUAUUGUUUUCCGACGUUGUUGUAUUUAACAACGUCUAAUAUUUAUGGUCGUUGUUUGUUUCUGAAAAUAGGACGUAUAAAUUUUUUAAUACGACUCUCAUAUAUUUGUAACUGACGUUGUUUAGUUUUUCAACGUCUACUAUAGAAACACAUACGUCGUAAAUAAUGACACUGACAACUAUUUCCACGUCAUCUUUUAUCGAAAAAUCGAAGUGGAAAAUUAAUUGUACGACGGUUGUGUUUAUAUGUGCGACGUAGUAGGUAUCAAUAACGUCGUCUUCUAAUGUAUUUAAAGACGUCAUAUUUUUUAUUGUCGUGAAAAUUAUAUUUAACGUCGGCGUAUUUUUAGUGUCGUCGUUGUAUGUCUAUCUUGCGGCUUUGUUCUCUUAAUAUGUGUCAUAUUUUCCCUUUUUAACGACGGUGUUUUUAGAGAAUUGGUCGUCUAUUAUCAUCCUCGAUUGCUUUUUUUAGAUCUUUUUGCAGUACAAAGACGUCGUUUUGUAUUUUUUGAUGACGUUGUAUUGUUUAACAACGACGGUUAUUUAGCGUCGUGGUUUAUGAGGGAAAAGAUGACGGUGGAUUCCACGACCAUUGAAAAACCAAAUACACGACGGUGAUUUACCGUCGUCUUUUUGCUUUUUUGUAGUAGUGUUUGUGUGAUUUUAUAAAUUAAUUAGUUUACUUUUGGACCAAGUAGCCUUGGUGCCCAAGUCUUGUAAAGCCUAUAAAUAAGGCUAAUGUAAUAGUUGUUGGGGAAGGGGGGGUGUUGAUGUUGAUAAUUAAUGAAAUAGUUUAUUUGUGGUAUAGAUUUGCUACGAUAUAUGCGAGUUUGCACUAAUCCUAGAUUUCGGUACUUGUGUAUGUGGUUGGUGACCUAUGUUCAGAUCCCGAUCCCCAUCAAUUGGUAUCAGAUCUAUGGCUCAAGAUUUGCUUUAUCAGGAAGGUUUUUGGGUGGAGGGUCUUGUUGACAACUACAACGACAUUGAGGAAAUUAGAAGGAUGCUACGGCAACUUACGGAAUGCAUCGCUCGCAUUGAAGCUCAAACCCAGAUAGGUAAGAGUUCUGACGGGUAGAGAUGCGUGAACCCUUAUCUGAAUCGAGUAGCUCGCAUCGACACUCUAAGCCAUGGGAGUCUCGACAGAGAGUAUGAGGGAGGUAGCCCUUUGAUUCAAGCCUACGAUAUAUGUGAGUUUGUACUAGACCUAGAUUUCAGUAUUCGUGUAUGUGGUUGGUGACCUAUCUCCGGAUCCCGAUCCCCAUCAGUCAUGAUAUAAAAGAUAUUUUAUAGAGACUUACAUUCCCAAUGUGGGACAUGUCGCUUAACCCAACAAUCUUAACUAGUAUAAUACGAAACAAAAAACAAUGAUUGAUGUUUCAUUUCCUUAAUAUGUCAGAUGAAUUCUGUAGGGGCUUUUUUUCUUCCGGUAGCUAUAAAUGGGCUGGACUGCCGUAAAGAGCAAAAUGGCUGAAAUUUCCCCUUUAUGUUUGAGUUCAAAUAUCAGACCCCAAAAUGUUUCGAAAGGAUAGUAAAGCCUUAGGAAACACCCUAGUUACCUUCACCAACGAACAUAAUGGUUGUUUACAGAUGAAUUCUUAGUGCUUACAUGUAGAAUCUUAGCUUGGCAUGAGAGGCUUGUGGCAUGGGAGCAAAGUUGUCAUGAGUUUAGCACUAAAGAGAAAAUUAAGUAUUCCUAGGGGAAAGAUGUGGUAUUAAGGUGGGAGAGAAAUGAUUUUACAAAGAGGUUUGGUUGAGCAUGAAGGAAAGAGAGGAACGGGUGGCUUGAGUGUUUUUCCUGCAGCUUGACAGAGGCUCUGUCAAGUGUUAGAACAGCUUGCCAAGAGGGAAACUAAGGGAAAAGGAUGGGUUGAGCACGAAAUUGCUGGGUUUUGGGAGUAAGAGAGGAAGUUUGCUUUCUGGAUGUGAUUGAUGCUUGUUGGGUAGAAGAGGCCUCUUUUAUAGCCGCUGGAAGCUGACAUUUUCCAAGAAACCCUUAUAGUUUCUAUCCAAUUUGGCCAAAUCUCUCCCUUCAUUUCUUCUCUCCUCCUUUGAAUUUUCCCAUCUUGGUGAAAUUUCUUCGGUCUAUUUGCACAAAAUCAUGGAUUUUUGGGAGCUCAAGGCCCUUUCCCGCAGCUGUUUUAGUAGGAGACUCCCAUUCUCAGCUAUUUCACUUUUUCUUUCCUUCCUCCUUCCAUGGCUAGAUCUGAUCAAGGAAAGCAAAUGGAUAUACAUGCUAGUUCGAAGGGUGCCUCUCCUCCUGGCAGCUUGCGCGCUAAUAUCCUUUGGUUCUUCGGAUGUUUUGUGCAUGGAACUUGUUCCUUCCCAUGUGCUAGAGCCUUCCAGCAGCUCUGCAUAUGUGGACAUCUUGCUCCCUUCGUGGCUUCUAUUUUUUCAGCAAGGGGUUGAGGCUUUUGCUGCUUCUCAUUUCUAAUUGUAUGGGCCUUCUAAGAUAACAAGUCAACUUACCAAAUAAAUGGGCUAAUCUCAUCAAGUAUUGGGCUAUAUUGGUUAAUUUAAUGGACCAUUUUGGGCUAAGGUAAUGAGCUAUUUUUCUCCUUCGUGCUUACCCAUAUAUUUGGGCUUAAGAAAUGGGCUUGGGUUCUGAGGCUCCCAAGCAACCCGGGACCUGUAUUUCUUGGCCCAUCAAUGGGCCUUAUGACAACUUAUUACCAUCUAUACCACAACCCACUCAAGCAAGCCCCUGACAUUUGAGUGGCUUGGGUCCACUUAGGCUUGUAGCGUGGUUGGGUGUGAAAUAAUAAUUUCCUGCUUGACCUGGCAUGUUGCUUGGUACGCUCUAAUUUUAUUGUCCUUAGAGAGGGACACGGUGCUUAUUUUAGCAUGGGCUUGUAUUUUAUAACCUUACCCCAAUUCCUGGCAUGACAAAUUAUUUAUUUAGCUUAGCACGUGGGCUGUGACUUGUAUAUGACUGGCCUUCAUGUACUCUGAUAUGUGACUUUUCUUAAUAAAUUAUCGUAUUUGGGCCGAAAAUUUAUUUGGGUCCAACCAUGGACUUUUUUUGGGCCUCAACAAAUUCCAAUGCAAAAAAUAAAUAGAAAAGCUUUAUGACGUUAAAAAUUUGAAAUUAAACAUAACAUUAAUUAAAUUCAACCUGAAAUGUAAACUAUGCAUAAUGAGGUAAAAUGUCAAAAAGUGUAUUUUUUUUCGGCCAUCGGAUUUCAAAAUGCAUUUAUUUCAAUAUAAUCUAAAUUACGGAGAGAGGAAUUCGAACUUGGGUGCAGAGUGGGGAGUAUGUCUGUUCUAACCAACUUGGCUAAGCCCAUGCCUACACUAGAGAUAUAUAAUUCUAAAAAGUGAAUGAAAUUAUUGAUGAAAAUGUGACCCAAAAAAAAAAAACCAUCUUGAAGAAUACUUCUAGAAAGCCAGAGGCGAAAAAUUUGGCUCUUUAAAAUUAAGGAGGAACUCAUCCUCAAGGCAAAUGAAAAUUUGACAUAUGUCAAAUUAUGUCAAAUUCCAAAACAAAGAAAGUUAAAAGAAUUUUAAAAAUAAAAUUGACAAGUGUCAAAAUCCCUUUUGUUUUGAGAAGCAACUCGAGCUUAAAAGGAGUAGAGGUGUCAAACGGGACGGGCCGAACCAGCACAGCACGAGCCCAGCCCGUUUAAAUGAGGCACGACAUGGUACGAGCAUGAAUAUUGAUUGGCCGUGCUUGGCACGGCACGAAAACUUGAGCCAAGCCGGGAUCAAAAAAUGAGGUCCAAUAGACCGGGCCGGCCCAUGGCCCGACAUGGGCCGGGCUUGGCCCGAGCAUGCUUCAAGCACGGCAUGAGCCCAAGCACGAGCCCAAGCAUGGCCCAAGCACAGUCCACUUAACAUUUUUUUCUUUCUCAAAAGUCAAAAUGCAAUAAUUUGACAUAUAAUAUCAUUAUUUAUAUGUUUUUUUUUAAUAAUAUAAAUAUAUAUUUUAUGUCUUUCAUUUUAGGGAAAUUACUUGGGUCCUUAAUUAAUUAAACAUAUCAACUACAAAUUAAUUAAACAACACUGGACUUGAUAUCUAAUCAGUACAUAUGACAUAUACGCUUCUCUUAUAAUCAAAGCAAGACAUUUUUUCACAUAUAAAAUAAUAAAUUGUUUAAAGAUGAAAAGAUGAAGUGGACUUUGUGGAGUUGGACACUUUUUGCCGUCCGCCAUUUCAUAUUAUUUGGAUGUUUGAUUGAUUAUUGUUUUCAAAUAGUUCAUAAUUUCUUGCCCUUAAUUAUACUUUUAAUGUUUAUAAUUUGAAUUAUCUAGUAGAAAAAAAAAAUCAAGUGAAAAAAAAUCAAAUUAAAUGGAUUGGUUCUUGGGCCCGAAUAUGGCACGAGCUCGGCCCGACCCGGCCCGAUUCAAUAUAGACAUGGGCUUUGGGCCGGACCGAAAUCAAUGAUUUUACUAAAUGGGCCGGCAUGGCACGGCCAGAUAAAUUAAAUGAACCGGUCCUGCCCGACACAAAAACAUUAAAAGUACGAGUUUAAACAGGAUGGGCCAGCCCGGCACGGCCCCUUUUGACACCUCUAAAAAGAAGUCAAGCUUUUUUCCAAGCCAACUAUGUUGGAUAUCCUCUCACGAGUUGGAUAUAAUAUGAUUUGCUCUUUCCUACGUAGCUUCCACUGGCUAGUCCAAAAGUAAUAAGAAGAAUAAAAUUUUGUAUUUUUCUUCUCCACAUACAUUUUGGAUUUGCACGCGGUGUAGUGUUGCCACCCGCGUUAAGACACUAAUUAUUGACCUUCCAGGAAAUGAACAAUCACUCCAAUUCCCAUCUGGUUUUCUUCAUGUAUACCUAUAAAAUGGGGCUUCAUUCAUCAAAUCAAACCAUCCAAUACAAACCAAACCCAAACUAGAAAUACUCAGCUUAUUAUUUUUCAACUAAAGUGAGUUCGUCGACUAAUUCCGCAGCAGCAUACCCUCCUCAUCCCCAACCUUACUCGAUGGCGCCCGGAUCUUAUUACGUGCAGGCUCCGCCACCUGCUGGUUAUCCCACAAGAGAUGCUCUAAAUCCUGCUUCCGCUCAUCAUGGGCCUGUAGAAACCAAGUCCAAGGGUGAUGGCUUCUGGAAGGGAUGUUGUGCUGCCUUGUGUUGUUGUUGUCUCUUGGAUGCUUGUUUUUGAACAUCAUGAUCCUAUGCGAUUCUUGAAUUCAGCCCAGUAAUCAUAUAUUUCUUUAUUCGUUUGUGAAUUAUGUUUUCCUCACUUUUUGUAACUUUUGCGUUAUUAUUCGAUUAUGUAAUUCUUGUUGUUGCAUUAUUCGUAUAGUAAAAUUCUUUAAUUUGUUCAAAUAAAAGAAAGAAGUUUUUGUGAGUAUUAAAUAGUUGGGUAAUUUUCACUUUAUUACGGUAAAGUUUACUGACUUUUAGAGCUCGAUUCAUCAAAUUUUGUUCGUUUCAGUGGCAUACACAAAGUUUAUUUUCUUACAACUUUCAUACAUAUCGUCAGUCUUUCUGUUAAUUGCUGACGUGGCAACAAAUGUGCC